rnacentral:rRNA from 1 species
GUGCCAGCAGCCGCGGUAAUACGGAGGGUGCAAGCGUUGCUCGGAAUUAUUGGGCGUAAAGGGUAGGUAGGUGGUCUUAUUUGUCUGGGGUGAAAGCCUUGAGCUUAACUCAAGAAGUGCCCCAGAAACGGUAAGACUAGAGUCCUGGAGAGGGUCGUGGAAUUCCCGGUGUAGCGGUGAAAUGCGUAGAGAUCGGGAGGAACACCAGAGGCGAAGGCGGCGACCUGGACAGGAACUGACACUCAACUACGAAAGCGUGGGGAGCAAACAGGAUUAGAAACCCGAGUAGUCC